rnacentral:miRNA from 1 species
UAUGGAACAGAGGGAGUAUA